rnacentral:misc_RNA from 1 species
AUUUUUUUUUCCCCAAGUAGGGCAUUGCUGAGUGUCCGACUUGGCUGAAAUGAAAUUCUACUCACCAAAACCAAAAGGCAGUAGUUGCCAGCCACUGCGAAAGUAGAGAAAGCAGGUACGCCUACUCUCUUUCGAAAAAAUGGUGCUGUUAGCAGGCAAAGUUUAGAUGACUACUUAACACACCUCUGUAACCCUAUUUGCCGCCAUAUAUAUGUGAGAAAGGGAACAGUUAAAGGUGCAACACAUUGAGUGAUCAUAGCUUCUCAUCUCUGUUCCCAUAAUGGCAGAGAAUGCAGUAAUUGAACCCUCGAAAAGAACGCACAUCAGGCAACCACCAUCAAUUCCAUUUCUCUGGGAGGAAAGGCCAGGA